GUCACCACUGCGCUCAAACACACACACCCUCUCUCUCCUCUUUCUCUCUCUUGCAGUCUCUCCUCCCCCAUACUCAAUCCUCUGCUUCCUCUCUGAUUCAUGGUUCCGUGAAUUGUAAAAAGGCUUCGAGUACAAAUUUGGGAACAGCUUUGAUCUUCUCCAGGACUAUUUUGCGCUGCUUCCGAAAUAUCUCCGUCUCGAUAGACCGAGAGGGAGAAGUAUGGUUGUCCAAAAAGGUGUAGGAUUAAGCGAUUGGAGACAGACAAAGAGUGAGGGAGGGAUGGGUGUAGGGCUGAUUUUCUGGUUCUAUCCAAAAACCUAAUACAAAUUGCACAUUAGUGUUUUAGGGUUUACUCCACACAGCAGACGAUGAGAGUUCCAGAGACUCCAGCCCUUCGCCGCUGUCUCUCCCUUUUGUCGUCGUCAGCUCAUCCGCAACCAUGGCAAUAGCAAGAAAAAAGUCAAUGACUCUGAUAACAUGUCACUCAUAAAUGAGAAGCAGAGUAAGCAAAUUACAGAGAUACCGAAGAGUACAAAAUGCCACUGGUAUGGAUUGACUUGGAAAUGACUGUUUUGAGGAAAAGCAUAACAAAGAAGGGUACUACUACAACGAUGUGGUGAUGUAAUCAUAAGAAAAAGUCGAGUUCUUUAGUUCAUUGCAAGUCGACCCAUUGCCAGGUAUCUCUCUCUCAAGAUAUUACCAAUUAGGUGUAUUUAUACUCUUAUUGGAUGUGAAUUUUUAAAAUAAUGAUGUAACUGCUUGAUAACCUAUGCAUCGUUUGGAGUUUAAAUAUACCACUUAAAUUGUGGGUAAAUGUAAAUGUGAAACUUAUAAACUAUAACCUCAUCCAUCAUUUAUUUUAGACAUCACUCAAGUUGUGAGGAAAUGUAACUAGCCAAUUUAUGAAAAUUAUUAGCACUCAAUGUACAAUUGUAUUUCAUAAUUUUUGUGAAUAAUCUAUUUAUCAGCAGAGUGUGCUUUAAAGAAAAAACAGUUCAUAGAGUAAGAGAAACAGCCAAGUGCCACUGUGUAAGAUUCUAGGACUGCUGAAUUGGAAUACUCAGAGAAACAAUAUGCAUAGGGAUCACUAAUAAUGUUUUUUUUGGUGUAUGUAUCUCAUAUGUUGGAAGGCCCCCUAACAUUGAAAACAGCACUUCUUUUUGUACAAACUUUGCUUUCUGCUCCUCACGGAUGAUCCUCAAGAUGCUGUGGUGGCACGACGGGUUAAACUCGCUUUUUUCCUUUAACCAAAUAUGUGUAUGGAUUAGUGGUGGACUAUGUUUAGUGAUUGUGUAUUUGAGCUCUGUAGAUGACUGCAUGUUGUGUUGACUUCAGAUUUUUGUUAUCAAUCACUCUUUCAAGUGCUUAUUUGAAUCAUUUAAUCCCCAAUUCAAAAAACUGAAAUUGCCUGAUAAUCUCUAUAUUGUUUGUUGGGUCAAAAAUAAGAAAAUGGAGAGAGUAGCACAACACUACUACGCAAAAUUGGCUUUGGGUAAAGCUUCCACUCUCUUCUAUUUAUAAUCUCUUUGAGAAGUUAUUUUGGUUGGUGGUUUUGGAAGAGAUAAUAUCCAAUUCAUAUAUGAACUAAGAAAAUAAUAUGCAUGUAUAUUGAAGUGGAAUUUUUCAUGGUAUUAUUAACAUGCAUGUUAUAAUUUAGUUGUUGAUUUUGGCUUGGCAUGAAGAAUGGCAUGAAAAAAACUGAAAAACUAGAGCUACUCUACCGUUUAUGCAGCAAGGGAAGGGAAGGAAAGGAAAAACAGUUAAUUUGGUGCUCCCUUUUCUCAAUCGCUCUCCACGUUUUCUGCAUGCUCAAUCGUCAUGCUAUUCAUAAUGGUUUAAAGAAUUUCAAGAGCUUCAUUCACCCAAUUUCUGCUCAUGUAAAAAUUCUUUCAAAAAGCUCAAAUAUCUUUGAGUGUAAAUAACAUUAACCUUCUUUAACAAUCUCUUAUAGCUUCGAAACAUAUUUUUAUCAUACGGUUUCUAAUCCCGCAGUAACGCGCGGGCUAUAUUUCUAGUGUAAUACUAAAAAUGUUAGUAAGAUAAAAGAAUCCAACAGUAAGGAUUUUACUCACUUAUGUGGUCGUUGUUGGAGUAAUUUUUUUAAUUAAUGUAGAAGCAUGAAAAUAUAGAAGGAAAAAAAAAAGAAAAUUAAAGAACAAAGUUUAAAAAUUUUGAGUUUUAACGAUAAAAACAAAAUAAGAUCAGCUCUA